CGCACAUUUUUCUUCAUGAGUAAUUACCUUUGUCUGAGUAUUUAAGUCUACAUCUUGAAGCCAAGACCAUCUUCUAUUGCCUGCGACAUGAACAAAGUCUGUAGGUAGAGAAACAGUUCGAGGAACGUAAUGCAUCAUUGUACUUAUUUUACUCGCAAAUCUGCUAAGUCUUUCGGUACUUGAGUGUCAACGUCCUCUUUAUUCGCAAUAUCAUCAACAGAAUUCAACACUGAUGUGAUUCUCGCAUCUCUAUCAUACUCCUCACCAUUGUUUGAUUGCUCCUAUAAACAAAAAAUUGAAUACAAUUGAUAAUCAUCAAUAAUUCAUUAUUUUGUGACAAAGCAAUACAUCUGUUAAUGAUUUAUUUUAUCUCUAGAAAGAAUUACAAUACUUAAUAUAGAUAUUUAAGUGAAUUAAUUUUUUCACAGACAAUUAUAUUUAAUAGUUUUUA